CUUAAGAUCAUGAAUUACAACAUUAGAAAAACUCAAUGUCUUUUAGGCUCUCAAAUAAUUAGUUGAGCUAAGAAAAAGUAGAUCAAGAUUUCAUUGACCAAAAUAGUCAAUACAAUUUGCACUAGUGUCAUCUCUUACUGCAUACAACUUAAUGAAAUUUUUUAGUAUGGUUAGCUAUGUGUUGAAUGACAUUGAAUAUGCCUUGUAGGGUUGGACAUUUCACCACAAUGUCGGAGGCAAGUGCUAGUAGCUAUAAUUCCAACUAUAGGGGGCAUGUGUGUGACAUGGAUCAGUGUGUGUUGUGGACAUCUUUGCAGCUCCAUAAUUUCGGUAGACAGUUUUAUGGCUGUAGACAUUGGAAGCCUGGCAGCGACCAACAUUGUAAGUCCUUUAAGUGGUUGGAUGGCAUCCCAUGUAGGCGUGGAGAGUGUCAUUGCGAAAUUUACUAGGCUUGAGGCCAAGGCAGCUAUGGAAAAAAACAAUGAGAUGGAAGCCCGUGCAAUGAUAGCAGACCUACUCCACAGGGAAAGAGUAGCAAAGUGUAGUGCUGAAAAAGCAAGGGUUUCCCUUUGUAUGGCCAAUGCGUGAGCACGUAAAUAUCAAAUUGCUCUACUUAUGUCAUGGUUGGCAUUUGUGGUGUUGUUUAUAUUUUCACUUGGUAAAAUGUAGGUUUGAUUACGGCAAAUGUGUUUGCCAUGAUUUUGAAUUUGGAUUAGUGGUUUGCAUAAUGAAAUUCUAUUAUGUGGUUGGACAUGGAAAUGUAUUGUAGGUGUUAGGAGUGCCUUCUAGUGUAGGUAUUGGACCUGGCAACGUAUGUGUUGAAUGACAGAGUUAUUGUAACCUUAUAUAUAACAUUGCUGUUUUGUAAUGGUAGCAUUCUUAGUUUUUGCCAUUCCUA